rnacentral:rRNA from 1 species
CCCUGAUGCACAAGGUACCCUAAUGAACUUUUUCAUUUUUAAAUUUUUAAAAUUUUCAUUUUUCCCUUACAGUUUUUUUAUAAAAAAAACUUUUUUAAACAUACAUUUAAAUAAAAUUUUAUCCUUCUUGUCUUUUCUUUUUAUUUUUUUAAAAA